GACGAACCGUGCGAACGUUGUUCGGAAUCACUGGGCUUAAAGGGCGCGUAGGCGGCUAUAUAAGUCCGGGGUGAAAGCCCCCAGCUCAACUGGGGAAGUGCCUUGGAUACUGUGUAGCUCGAGCGAGGCAGGGGUCGUGGGAACUUCCGGUGGAGCGGUGAAAUGCGUUGAUAUCGGAAGGAACGCCGGUGGCGAAAGCGCACGACUGGUCCUCUUCUGACGCUGAGGCGCGAAAGCCAGGGGAGCAAACGGG
rnacentral:rRNA from 1 species